GUCGUCUACCUGUCGGUAUGGGAUAUGGGUCUAGAUAUCCAGUCAUUGCUGGUUACGAGGAAGGCGAUGAUUGCCAGACAUGUGGCUUGAUUUCUCAUCCAAUCUGACUGCCUAUGAAGCAGAAUGAUGAGGAUUCGGUAUGGGGAUUGGAGCUAAGGAUUCCAGAUUUGCAUGGAUCACAAAUGCUCCUUCAUCUCAUGAAGAGAGAUUUGCAUCCACACCCCGAUAGUGGUGGCCCAGGUUAGGUGGCUUAUCCAUGAUGGG
rnacentral:lncRNA from 1 species